CAGCUCUCCGAGUGGUAGGGAUGAUUAUUGGGCUUAAAGCGUCCGUAGCCGGCUUAGCAAGUCUCCUGUUAAAUUCAGCGACCUAAUCGUUGAGCCGCGGGAGAUACUACUAGGCUAGGAGGCGGGAGAGGUCGACGGUACUUCCGGGGUAGGGGUGAAAUCCUAUAAUCCCGGGCGGACCACCAGUGGCGAAGGCUGUUGACUAGAACGCGCUCGACAGUGAGGGACGAAAGCUGGGGGAGCGAACCGGAUUAGAUACCCGAGUAGUCC
rnacentral:rRNA from 1 species